AGGAAUAUUGGUCAAUGGACGCAAGUCUGAACCAGCCAUGCCGCGUGCAGGAUGACGGCUCUAUGAGUUGUAAACUGCUUUUGUACGAGGGUAAACGCAGAUACGUGUAUCUGUCUGAAAGUAUCGUACGAAUAAGGAUCGGCUAACUCCGUGCCAGCAGCCGCGGUAAUACGGAGGAUUCAAGCGUUAUCCGGAUUUAUUGGGUUUAAAGGGUGCGUAGGCGGUUUGAUAAGUUAGAGGUGAAAUUUCGGGGCUCAACCCUGAACGUGCCUCUAAUACUGUUGAGCUAGAGAGUAGUUGCGGUAGGCGGAAUGUAUGGUGUAGCGGUGAAAUGCUUAGAGAUCAUACAGAACACCGAUUGCGAAGGCAGCUUACCAAACUAUAUCUGACGUUGAGGCACGAAAGCGUGGGGAGCAAACAGGAUUAGAUACCCUGGUAGUCCACGCAGUAAACGAUGAUAACUCGUUGUCGGCGAUACACAGUCGGUGACUAAGCGAAAGCGAUAAGUUAUCCACCUGGGGAGUACGUUCGCAAGAAUGAAACUCAAAGGAAUUGACGGGGGCCCGCACAAGCGGAGGAACAUGUGGUUUAAUUCGAUGAUACGCGAGGAACCUUACCCGGGCUUGAAAGUUAGCGACGAUUCUUGAAAGAGGAUUUCCCUUCGGGGCGCGAAACUAGGUGCUGCAUGGUUGUCGUCAGCUCGUGCCGUGAGGUGUCGGGUUAAGUCCCAUAACGAGCGCAACCCCUACCGUUAGUUGCCAUCAGGUGAAGCUGGGCACUCUGGCGGGACUGCCGGUAAUAAACCGGAGGAAGGUGGGGAUGACGUCAAAUCAGCACGGCCCUUACGUCCGGGGCUACACACGUGUUACAAUGGUAGGUACAGAGGGCAGCUACCCAGCGAUGGGAUGCGAAUCUCGAAAGCCUAUCUCAGUUCGGAUUGGAGGCUGAAACCCGCCUCCAUGAAGUUGGAUUCGCUAGUAAUCGCGCAUCAGCCAUGGCGCGGUGAAUACGUUCCCG
rnacentral:rRNA from 1 species